rnacentral:rRNA from 1 species
UGGGGAAUAUUGCACAAUGGGCGCAAGCCUGAUGCAGCCAUGCCGCGUGUAUGAAGAAGGCCUUCGGGUUGUAAAGUACUUUCAGCGGGGAGGAAGGUGUUGUGGUUAAUAACCACAGCAAUUGACGUUACCCGCAGAAGAAGCACCGGCUAACUCCGUGCCAGCAGCCGCGGUAAUACGGAGGGUGCAAGCGUUAAUCGGAAUUACUGGGCGUAAAGCGCACGCAGGCGGUCUGUCAAGUCGGAUGUGAAAUCCCCGGGCUCAACCUGGGAACUGCAUCCGAAACUGGCAGGCUUGAGUCUUGUAGAGGGGGGUAGAAUUCCAGGUGUAGCGGUGAAAUGCGUAGAGAUCUGGAGGAAUACCGGUGGCGAAGGCGGCCCCCUGGACAAAGACUGACGCUCAGGUGCGAAAGCGUGGGGAGCAACA